UUGGACUGGAAAGUGAAAUUUGAACUUUUAUAAACUGUCAUGUCCGAUUAGCUCCGGUUCGAUUGGCUUCGAUAUCAGAGUCCGCCAGACUGUUCAUAGCAAGGGAAUGGUAUGGUAGCCUUCAAGCGUUACGAACAUCUAUUUCUGUACCGUUUGUCACAAAACUACUUUUUCUGCUGUCACAGUUUGCUUCACUUAGCUUUGGGACACAAUUAAUGUACUAGAAAUUGCUCAAAACUGUCUGAUCUGCUAUUAUUAAUUGCAGUCAACAUUUAGCCGGUUUGCCCGAAUCUACAUGAGAUAAGGGUAAACUGCCCAUUUUUCGGGUGCCAGUGCCAGUGAUGUUGGUAACGCGUCAAAUGUAUGGUAGCUGACAGCGAUGCCAUUCCCGUGGUUCAUAGAGAGACUGUUUUUCCUCGCCGGUUCGUCUACGAUGUGUCGAAAGCAGCAGUCGAAAAACUGCUAGAAACAAAUCAAAGCAAACAGUCGUAGACAAGUGCUGCGAUUGUUUUCCUUGAGAAUUGAAGUGAAAAUAUCGUUACUAAGCAGCCGAAACUAUAAUCAACAAGUCUUAGAAAAGUUUCAUAUGGUUUUUUCUUGCGGAGGAGCAGAACCUAUUCGAGUUUCGCUAGGUAAUUCUUAGAACUUCUUUUCCAAAUAUGGUCAACAUACCUGGAGAUGAAGAAAUUCCACAGCAGGUUCAUAUCUUCCUCCAGCAUGAUACGACUUGUGGCCUUAAUACCGGGAGAAGGCUGCCCGCAACUUGACAUCCCGCCUAAUGAAGUCCCCUAGCUCCUGCAACUAUGAAGAAAAGUGAAUUUAUGGUAUUCAAACGCGCGCUUCUGUCAGCCACGGUUGGCUUGAUUUCCUUCUUUCGUUUGUGGACGUCCAGCUUCUAGGUGAAACUUCAGAAAGGCGCGAGUUCGGUUCCGGAUCCCACCAUAAUGAUCGGCGUUUCGAUCGACUUUUGCAAAUAAAGAUCAGCACUCUUGGCAACGGUUCCCCAUUGACCGGAUGCUUCUAGACGAUGAAUUGCUCACAGCGCCCGGUUUCAUUCAUACUGGAACGGGUUAAACGAGAAAGAAAUCGAACAGUAUCUAGUUAUGAUCUUAUUUGUGAUUGUUUUAUCUGAUCUAAUACAGCUACACCUGCUGCACAAAGUGGACCUGCUAAGACUUUCGGAAGAAUGAAUACAUUUUGGAAGCUGUUUUAGAAAUAAUUUUAUUGAAAAAUAAAUUGAGAUUUUUUA